UACGUAGGGGGCAAGCGUUGUCCGGAAUCACUGGGCGUAAAGCGCGCGCAGGCGGCUGUCUACGUCCGGGGUGAAAGCCCAGAGCUCAACUCUGGGACUGCCUUGGAUACGGGAUGGCUUGAGGAUCGGAGAGGCAAGUGGAAUUCCUGGUGUAGCGGUGAAAUGCGUAGAUAUCAGGAGGAACACCUGUGGCGAAAGCGGCUCACUGGACCAUAACUGACGCUGAUGCACGAAAGCUAGGGGAGCAAACAGG
rnacentral:rRNA from 1 species